CGGUAGCUCAGUGGUAGAGCAAUCGGCUGUUAACCGAUCGGUCGUAGGUUCGAAUCCUACCC
rnacentral:tRNA from 3 species